CCGGGCUGCCAGGGGCGCGCGGCGCCCGGGGACGGCGGUGCUGGGCCCGCCUGGUACCGGGUGUGCUGCGGGGCAGCUCUCGGGGGCUCUUUGUCUCCGGGGAUGGGGCUCAUGCCCGUUGUGCUGGGUGCUUAACUCGUGUUUCUCACUGGCUCAGCUCUGAGGAAAGUGCUCCAGCAGAGCACUUGAUUGCUUAAUAGCCAAGGACUUUAAUUAACAUCUGUAAAAUGAAGCGGGGUGCUGCGUCUUCAAACUGGGGAUGCACAUGCUGGGCUCAGGAGCGCAGUAUAAUGUGCAGAAAGGACACGAACAAGCACACGCUGUUCUGUCUGUAGCCGGACUCUGAAGUAAUCUGCUGUUAGAGAGCUCAAUUUUAACAUCACAAAGUGAAGAUAAUUAGCGUCAAGAUGUAUUUUUUUUUAAUGCAUUCGGAAUUGUUAGGGUUGCAAAGACAGCUUGAAAUUAUUUUUGAACGAAUGUGCCUAUUAGCCAGAUCUGCGUUUAAUCUCCAGGUGAUUUUAAAAACAGCAUCUCCUGGAACACCAUGUUCACAAUGUUCUACAUCAUAGAUUAUGUUCUGAGUUGUACAUUAUGUUGCAGAUCCAAAAAUAAAGCUGCUUUUUUUACCUUAUUGUGAGCUGACAAUAAGAAGCUUGUGUUUCCCAGACUGAAUUAAAAUAAUGUGAAAACAUCAUUGCAAGGAAUAAGAAUGCUAAGUGUUAUUUUUAGCUUGACUCAAAAUUUCUUUUUCCAUCACUGGGAGUACUUCCCAGUUCCUGGAUCAGUAUCUACAUCCCAAACUGUCCUGACUUCAUGUUGGGUCCAGGACUUGGGUACAGACCCUCCCUGUCUAUCUUGCUGCCCCAUGCUGUAGUCUCCAUUGGAAGGAAAGAUGAACAGACCAGAAAAGAGCUGAAAAAUCAGAGAACCACAACAAGGGAUAUGCUGUGGAGCACACCUGCCAACAGGCCAGAUAUGCCUCAGGCGUGGAGAUGCUUAGCUUAAAAGUACAAGUUCACAUCUAUGAAUGCGCAAGUCGUAUGUGAGUGAAAUGAUUCAUUGGUUUUGCAAGGAAGAUUCACUUUUCUUCUGGAUUUCCCACAGCCUAUACAGCUGCCCAUCAGUCUGCUCAUUCUCCUGGUUCAGCUCUUCACUCUGUGGUUCAGAGCCAGGUUGAAAAUUACGGGGAAUUAGGAGAUGAUUCACAAAUGGCAUGGGUUUCCCAACCCUCAAGGCAGAAAGGUGUACUAGAUAAGGUGUGAAGUCAUAAGAUAUCAUCACUAAAGCAGUAAAAAAGAAGUAGAAAAUUUCAGAAAUAUUGGAAGAAGACCUCAAUGAAUGAAAACAAUCACAAAAAUUAUAUAAUUUGAGUCAUUUAAAAUGCAAGUAAAUGCAAACUUCUGUUUUGUGUUUGUAACCCAUCUGGGAUGACAGAAAAUGAGCAAACUAAGAGAAUAAAUGAGAAUUUAUAUUAGAUUCAUUAGAAGGGAGAUAUCAUCCUAAUGUUAAUCUGAUACUCACUUUAUUGCAACA